AUCGCCUCCCACCAGGCCCCAUUUUUAACAUUCCCCAUUAUAAUUCCACAUGAUUUUGGUAGGGAUGCAGAGCCAAAUCAUAUUAUUCUGACCCUGGCCCCCGUAUCUCAUGUUCUUCUCACACUGCAAAAUACCAUGAUGCCUUCUCUACAGUUUCCCAAUCUCUUAACUCAUUCCAGCAUUUACUGAAAUGUCCAAAGCCCAAAGUCUCUUCUGAGACAAGGCUGGGGUCUCUUCUGCCCCUGAGCCUCUGAAAUACAAAGUAAGUUAACUACUACCAAAGUACAGUGAUUGUACACACAUUGGGUAAGUAUUCCCAGCCAAAAGGAAGAAAUUAGCCAGAAAGAAGAACAAAACACAGAUGGGACUUACAAACCCCAUAGGAGUCAAAAAUCCAACAGCCAGUCAUUGAAUCCUACAGUUCCAAACCAUUUUUUUGAAUCCAGAUCCCACAUUCAGAGCACAAGGGUAUGAGGCCUGGGCUCCCAAGGCCUUGGGCAGCUCUGCACCUGUGAAGUUGCAGGGUCUAACCUCCACAGUUGUCCUCAUGGGCUGGGCUGAUGUUGAAUACCUAUAGGUUUUCCACAAUGAGGGUGCAAGCUGCUAGUAAGUCUAUGAAUCUGGUGUUUGCAGAAUGGUGCCUCCCUGUAUUGGGGUUCCAACCCUAUAUUUUCCUUCUGUACUGCCCUAGUAAAGGAGGCUCUGCCUCUUGGAAAAAUUUCGACCUGGACACCCAACUUUUUCCAUACAUACUCUGGAGUCCAGACAAAGGAUCCCCAGCCUCCAGUUUUGUGCUCUGAGCACCUGCUGGCUUAACACUAUGUGGAAGCCACCAAGGCUUGCAGUUUGCACCCUCGGAAGCAGUGACCCAGGCUGUACCUGUGCAUCUUUCAACCAUGGCUGGAGCUGGAGCUUCAGGAAUCCAGCCAGCAGUGUCCUGAGGAUGGACAUAGCAGCGGGGUCAUGGGGCUGGAGAAGGAAACCAUUCUUUUCUCCCAGGCCUCAGGGCCUGUGAUAGCAAGGGCUGCUGAAAAAGUCUCUGAAAUGCCUUCAAGGCCUUUUUAACAUUGUAUUGGCUAUUAGCACUGAACUCCAUUUUAUAAACAUUUCUGAAGCCUUCUUGAACUUUCCCACUGAUAAUAAGCUUUUCUUUUUGACCACUUGGCCAGGCUGCAAAUUUUCACAACUUUUAAUCUCUCCUUGUCAUUUAAAUAUGUUUCACCUUGAGGUCAUUUCUUUGGUCACAUAUAGGACCACAGGCUGUUCGACACAGACAGGACACCUCUUAAGCUUUGCUGCAUAAAAUUUCCUUCCAACAGAUACAAUCUAAAUUAUCACCCUGAUGUUCAAAAUUUCACAGGUCUCCAGGUUAAGGACAUCGUGCCGCAACGUUCUUUGCUAAGGAAAAAACAAAAGUGACCUUGCCUCCUGUUCCCAGCAAGCUCCUCAUUUUCAUGUGAGACCUUCUAAGCCUGGUGAUCACUGUCCAUCCUUCUGUCACCUUUUUAAUUACAACUAUUUGACAAGUCUCUACACUGAUCCAAACUUUUCCUCAUCUUCCUGUCUUCUUCCAAGACCUCUAAACUCUCCAACCUCUGGCCAUUACACACUUCUUAACCUGCUUCUACAUUUUCAGCUACAUGUGUCACAGCCUGGCAAUGUGGUAAAAGAAGAAAAGUCCAUUUCAGGAGAAAAAUUAAUGCAGGCUUCAGACAUUUCCCUGAAAAGAAGCUGAGUGCUGAUCACCAAUACAAC
rnacentral:lncRNA from 1 species